GGGUUUCUUUCAUUCUCUUUCUGCCACUUCUUCUAUGGCGAUCAACUUUCAGACUUUUCAUCAAGGGUUUCCAUUCAAGCAAUUCAUUCGUCUGUACCUCAAAGAUUAAAAAAGGAAUGAAAUCAAGGGAGAUGAAGACGUGUGUCAGAGUUUUCAUCCUUCAAUCCGGCGAUUAGGGUUUUCAUCCUUCUUUUACAAUCAAACAAUCCAAGAAUAAUCUGGAAGAUGUUGGAAUUUGGGACGAUAGCGUUCAGAUCUAACGUAAUAUUAUUCGUAUUUGAAGACUUUAGCGAUUAACAUGUCAAAGAUGGCAUAUACCUUGCUUUCAUCGAUCCUAAUUGGAUUCCGUGAUUUUAUUGGAUUGCAUAUGCUCUGCAGUGUUCACCAUCGCUAGAACUAUCUACAAUUUGCUUUUAAUCUUUACAAGCCGGGAUUUCUUGCUAUUUAUGUUCCCUUUCUUCACCUUCAUUGCUUUGCCUCUCGGAGAAUGUUCUCUGCUGCUGAAGGCGUCUUUAUCUAUACUUUUAACGUACUAUCAGCCUUAUCAGGUGUUUGAUAAAUAACAUUGCCUCUCUCGCCAUGGUUCUAGACAAGUAAUAUCCCCUCCCUCCCCUUCUCACACACGCAGGCGUUUGUGUUUACUUCCCAGGCGUUUACUUUGAUUGUCGGUAACCGGAGGUCUGGUAUCUUUUACAUCGUUACUUGGUUGGCAUUUAUAUUAAGUAAAUAUACAUCAGAUUACUUUUUAGUUUUCCAAAAGGGGUAGCCCAAUUGUCACAAAAUCAUUAGCGUUGCAGACCGUCAUGCUGCUAUGAGAAAUUGGUAUCGUCAAAGUUUAAGGUUUCAAUGGCUAUUGCUUUGAUUUCAAAGUGAGCAACAAUUGCUUCGUUUGAGGAUCAGAAAAGGCACAUCCUUGAGUUCAUGGGAUGCAAGUGAUAAAUCAUUGCUCAUGUUUGCCAUGAGUUGCAUUGCUGCAAUAACACUACUUUAUUAUUGACAUAGUGUUCAGUAGAUUAAUUUAUAAGUGUAUUUUGUUACAUUUAGCUUUAACUUCAUUGUAGUCACAACUCUACCAUGGCAUUGCAUCCAAUUUUUAAGUUGAAUAUUUAAUGUAAUGUAAUGGACACAAGGAGUUGCAUGAGAUUGAAUGUUUAAGAUUUAAUGGAGUAUUUUAUUCUUU
rnacentral:lncRNA from 1 species